UGGGGAAUCUUGCGCAAUGGACGAAAGUCUGACGCAGCCACGCCGCGUGAGUGAAGAAGGCCUUCGGGUUGUAAAGCUCUGUCGGAAGGGACAAAAACGUUUAGGGUUAAUAGCCCUAGAUCUUGAUGGUACCUUUAAAGGAAGCACCGGCUAACUUCGUG
rnacentral:rRNA from 1 species